rnacentral:misc_RNA from 1 species
AAUUUUGUGAGAAGUCUCUGGUUAGUGUGCUGGAGAGCAGAGGAGCAGGAUAUUUUGAGGAAAAACAGGCCCUUUCCUUAUUCAGAGAUGCAUGCAAUGCAGUUUUUGCAAUGCAUUCUCUGUCUCCACCUAUUGCUCACAGGGACUUGAAAGCAGAGAAUCUUCUACUGGGGCCUGAUGGACUGUGGAAGUUGUGUGAUUUUGGGAGUACCUCUACCAAU